UAAAGGGGAGAUUGAGGCCCAGAAAGAAAACCUGCCUAUACCAGGUGUUCUCAAACUUCAGCACAUCAGAAUCACCUGGAGAACUUGUUAAAGCUCAGAUGGCUGGGCCCUAACUCCAGAAGUUUCUGAUUGAGUAGGUCUGGGGUGGAGUCUGAGAGUUUGCAUUUCUAACAUGUUCACGGGGAAUAUUGGACCACCUAUGCUUUAAGAAUCAAUGACUUAAGGUCACUUCUCUGUUAAGCACAGCAGCCAGGAUUUGAGCUAGGUUUGUUUAACCACAGAGCCCACUUCCCAUUGAUCUCCACGGCCUCUACAGACUAAUGCCUCUCAGCCUCAACUGGACGUCAGAAUCACUGGAAGACUUGGGGACGCCCAGGCCACACCUCGAUAGUUCUUAAAACUUCCUAGGUGUUUCCAGUGGGCAGCUAAGUUUGACACUCUUCCUUGUUUAGAAGAUUGUUGUGGAUUUCUGAAGAUCUGUGCUGAGAAGAAUUCCGAAGCCACGGCUGGGCACAGUGUGAGCAGUCACUGUGGCUGCUAGUCACAGACACGGAGACUGGAGAAAUUACUGCUAGUGUUAAUCACCCUCAUCUUAACCCAAGAACGUAUCUCUUGAGUGGAGAGCCUUGUUAUGUUUAUAUAUGAAGAAUGGAAGACCGUUCUGGAACCAGUUCUUCAGUGCCAAAACAAUUCAUUGAAGAAGGAAAUAAAUACACACACAAUCCAAUGCAAUAUUCUCUAAUGCUUAGAGUGGAAUAGUUGCUGCAUUUGUGUUUUGAAAUAGAAGAACAUCACAAAUAUGCUUGUACCAUGGUAGGUGAGUAUUCAUAAAUGUGAGUACACAUAUAAACAUGCAUUUCUGGAUG